AGGACGAACGCUGGCGGCGUGCUUAACACAUGCAAGUCGAGCGGAAAGGCCCUUCGGGGUACUCGAGCGGCGAACGGGUGAGUAACACGUGAGCAACCUGCCCUUAGCUCCGGGAUAGCUCCGGGAAACCGGAAUUAAUACCGGAUAUGACCUAGGCCGACAUCGGCUGUGGUGGAAAGUUUUUCGGCUGGGGAUGGACUCGCGGCCUAUCAGCUUGUUGGUGGGGUAAUGGCCUACCAAGGCGACGACGGGUAGCCGGCCUGAGAGGGCGACCGGCCACACUGGGACUGAGACACGGCCCAGACUCCUACGGGAGGCAGCAGUGGGGAAUCUUGCGCAAUGGGCGAAAGCCUGACGCAGCGACGCCGCGUGGGGGAUGAAGGCCUUCGGGUUGUAAACCCCUUUCAGCAGGGACGAAGCGAAGUGACGGUACCUGCAGAAGAAGCGCCGGCUAACUACGUGCCAGCAGCCGC
rnacentral:rRNA from 1 species